UACGUAGGCAGCGAGCGUUGUUCGGAAUUACUGGGCGUAAAGCGUGUGUAGGCGGUGCUCUAAGUUCGGUGUGAAAUCUCCUGGCUUAACUGGGAGGGUGCGCCGGAAACUGGAGUGCUCGAACGUGGGAGAGGAAAGCGGAAUUCCUGGUGUAGCGGUGAAAUGCGUAGAUAUCAGGAGGAACACCUGCGGUGUAGACGGCUUUCUGGACCAUUGUUGACGCUGAGACACGAAAGCGGGGGUAGCAAACAGG
rnacentral:rRNA from 1 species